GACGAACGCUGGCGGCGUGCCUAAUACAUGCAAGUAGAACGCUGAAGCUUGGUGCUUGCACCGAGCGGAUGAGUUGCGAACGGGUGAGUAACGCGUAGGUAACCUGCCUGGUAGCGGGGGAUAACUAUUGGAAACGAUAGCUAAUACCGCAUAAGAGUAGAUGUUGCAUGACAUUUGCUUAAAAGGUGCAAUUGCAUCACUACCAGAUGGACCUGCGUUGUAUUAGCUAGUUGGUGAGGUAACGGCUCACCAAGGCAACGAUACAUAUCCGACCUGAGAGGGUGAUCGGCCACACUGGGACUGAGACACGGCCCAGACUCCUACGGGAGGCAGCAGUAGGGAAUCUUCGGCAAUGGACGGAAGUCUGACCGAGCAACGCCGCGUGAGUGAAGAAGGUUUUCGGAUCGUAAAGCUCUGUUGUAAGAGAAGAACGAGUGUGAGAGUGGAAAGUUCACACUGUGACGGUAGCUUACCAGAAAGGGACGGCUAACUACGUG
rnacentral:rRNA from 1 species